rnacentral:rRNA from 1 species
GACGAACGCUGGCGGCGUGCUUAACACAUGCAAGUCGAACGGAAAGGCCCUGCUUUUGUGGGGUGCUCGAGUGGCGAACGGGUGAGUAACACGUGAGUAACCUGCCCUUGACUUUGGGAUAACUUCAGGAAACUGGGGCUAAUACCGGAUAGGAGCUCCUGCUGCAUGGUGGGGGUUGGAAAGUUUCGGCGGUUGGGGAUGGACUCGCGGCUUAUCAGCUUGUUGGUGGGGUAGUGGCUUACCAAGGCUUUGACGGGUAGCCGGCCUGAGAGGGUGACCGGCCACAUUGGGACUGAGAUACGGCCCAGACUCCUACGGGAGGCAGCAGUGGGGAAUAUUGCACAAUGGGCGGAAGCCUGAUGCAGCAACGCCGCGUGCGGGAUGACGGCCUUCGGGUGGUAAACCGCUUUCGCCUGUGACGAAGCGGGAGUGACGGUAAUGGGUAAAGAAGCACCGGCUAACUACGUG